UUUGAGCGUCAGGCAGCACAACUCACAUUUGUGCAGAGAGCCACAUACCGCAUGCUGUUCUCCAGCUUGCUGUGCGUAUUUGUGGCCUUCAGCUACUCUGGAUCCAGUGUGGCCCAGAAGGUUACUCAAGCCCAGUCAUCAGUAUCCAUGACAGUGGGGAAAGCAGUCACCCUGAACUGCCAGUAUGAAACAAGUUCGUGGUCAUAUGACCUUUUUUGGUACAAGCAACUUCCCAGCAAAGAGAUGAUUUUCCUUAUUCGCCAGGGUUCUUCUGAACAGAAUGCAAGAAAUGGUCGCUAUUCUGUCAACUUCGAGAAAGCAGCUAGCUCCAUCGCCUUAACCAUUUCAGCCUUACAGCUAGAAGACUCAGCAACGUACUUCUGUGCUCUCUGGGAACUCACAGUGUUUGAAGUGAUAGUAAAAGCAAAACAAAAACCCUAGGGCUCGACAAGAGAACCCUCUACUCCGCAUCCUUUGCUACAGGAGCCAAUUUGAAAUGCACACCUGCAGAUCUCAGGCAAGAGAGGGUAGUGACUGUGGUCUGUGGAUUUAAUCUGUGGUCUGGAUCAGAUGAGUUAAUUCUAAGUAAAACCUCCUUCUAUCUCAUUUGGAAACAGGUGUUCAGAGCAACUUUCUUCUAAUACUUAAAUUUUUACUUAAAAUAGAUCAUACGGAAAAUGUGUAAAGUUGUCUAAGUUGGAAAGACUUCCACAUAAUAACUUAAAGUGGCAGUUUCACUUAACGAUGAUCACAGCAGAAAUCUGGGUCUAGUUAUGUUGAAUCAUAAUAAAAAUCAUUUCCUUAGCCCUUUCCUCUUAGGCUUUAUGUCAUUUAGGGUACAAUCAGGGAAGCAGAACCAUCAUGAAAGAUGUAGAAUAAGAGUAAUUAUAAGGAUUAGACCUCAUGCAAUUGCUGGAGCUGGUGGUUCUCAGAAGUUACUUAGUUGUUUAUGUUUUUAUGAAAUUAUAACAGGAAUAAAAUGUAAUAUUUUCAAAAUCUGACAUUGAGUUUUAUUUACUAGGCUGAAGAGGAUCAGGAUAUUCAUUCCUAUUGCCUUCACAAGUAGAAUAGUACUUCUUAGAUCAUGUGUCCUAGAAUUGUCCUGAUAUCACAUUUCUAUCCCAUUGAUCCAAAGUAUUCAGUCUCACUUGUUAAAUUCUGUGGCUGGGCAUGUUUUUUAUUUGUAAAAUAAAGUCGUGAUAAGCAUGCCAGAUUUCUAUGUGAUACAAUGCCAUAAUCUGCUCUUACUCCUAUGCAAAGCUGUUGUCUUUGCAUCUAGUAUUGAGCCUGAAUUUACUCUAGGUCAGCUAGACUCACAUUUGGGAAGGAGAGUUGAAUGUGGACAAGAGCAUGCAAAAACUGAUCUGUAAAGACAUUUUGGAACCCGUGGUGACAGGUGGAACCCAUGAGGACAAAGUAAAACUUGUCUCUUACCUCCUUCAAUCUCAUAGUGUUGGUGACCUUCAGAAGAAAUGGUGUUAUUUGCUAUCUUGUUCCCUGGGUGCUUAGCCCAAGAAAAAGAGAAGCUGAAAGAGGAGACCUAGGGGCAGUUGGGGAGUUGUGAAUCAACAAUAAGAUGAGUUAGCAGAUCAGUAGCAACACGUGUGAGUUGUCACCGUUCCUGGAGCCUGGCACCUGUCUUGCACAAUUUUUUUCAACUUAAUAGAGAAUAAUAUAGGGAAGGAUUUUCUUAGAAAUGUAUUUCCAGGUAGUUACGAUGAGACAGUACGAAGUUACCACAAUACCCCUACCUUGUAAACUUGACAUCCGUAUGGACCUCUUUUAAUAACACUUAGCUUUCAAAUAAAGACAAUUUUAAAAAGCAUGUUUCCUGCUAAUAUGAUGCCACUAUU